rnacentral:rRNA from 1 species
ACGCGACCCCAGGUCAAGCGGGGCUACCCGCUGAGUUUAAGCAUAUCAAUAAGCGGAGG